GCCUAGCGAGUAUAGUGGAUACGACUCUCAGCUUGUGACCGAGUGGGUUCGGGUUCGAAACCCGAGUAAGGCA